rnacentral:lncRNA from 10 species
AAGAACUAGACGAAUGCCCAGGCAUGGGAAGCCCCAGUCACCUUUCCCUCCCUCAACCCGAGAGGAGUCACAUUCCAAACCUAGCCUUUAUCAUUCCCUUCCUUUUCAUUAGACGGUUAUGUAUGUACGUAUCCUUAAACUUUAUGCUAAUGGUAUCACAUUUUGUGUAUUCUACUACUUUUAAACAUUUAUGGAUUAAAUUCUGUCCCUCCAAAAAAGAUAUGUUGGAGUCUUAACCCCUAAUACUUUAAGCCGUGACCCCGUUUGCAGACACCGUCUUUACAGAGGUGCUCAAGGUGAGAGGCACUCAUUA